UAUUCAACGACAUACAAAUUAGAAUUUUCUUUCAACCUAUCAAGAAGAAAAUUAAUUAUAAAUUCUUCUUUAUUGGGAAAAUAUACAUCGACUUCUCCACGAAAAAGUUUGUUUGCUAGAUCGAUUUGGUCUUCUCGACUACCAUUUUUAUCGCGUAUGCGCUUUGUUAGCGUUUGUAAACUCAUACUGACGAGGAACGCUAUAGAGAUAAUAUUCCCUUAUAACAGGUUUAAUCAAAUAUCGGUCGACCACUUGCCAAGUCCACGCGUGGUGGUGGUGGUGUUAACUGAAAAGAAAAAAAAAAAAAAAUUCAAAUUAUAAUAAAGGAGAAACAAACUCUUAACAUUUGCGGAAUUACAUUUACAAUAAAGUUUACAACUAUUUAUUGCUCCUUUUUUUUUGUGUAAAUAGCAUGUGAAAAUUUGACCACAUAUUAAGUAAAAUUUACUAAGUUUCAUUUGAAGUUUCCCUAAAUCACUCAGUUUAAUCGCUGUAAGUUUGAUACUUUUCCAUACUAACAUGUUACCAUAAAUAUUAUUAUGAUUGAAAUGAAACCUUUGACUGCUCUCUAUAGAGUGGGUAAACAAAAGUAAUUCCUACCGCAUCGCAUACACAAAAAAUUGUAAUUGCAAACGACGAAAAGAGCUGAAAUUAAAUAAAAAACCUAUAAAUUUCUUCUCUUUUAUUAAUAAAUAAACAUUGAUACUUAAACUGGGAGGUCUGGUAAGGGAUGUGAACCCUUUGAUACCAUGGGUUUUUGAGAUGUUUUUCCCAAUAUAAACUCAUGUUGAAGUGCUGAAUCAACAGUAAUCCUAUCUUUUGGAUCCCAUUUCAAACAUUUUGAAAGAAAAUCAAGGAAAGAAGCCUGCUUUGUGUUUAGAAGCUGACUAAAUGUUCUAGUAGAUGGAACUAGUAACCGAUUAUGACUAUCCGUAAUUGGAUGUGGUUUUCCUUCCGAGUCAAAAUAAGCCUUCGACCUUGUUGAAUUCCUAAUCAAUGCCAUUGGAGGAGGGCCCAAUACUUCCAUAAUAUAACCUAAUUGUUCAGUUUCAUUACCCCCUGGGAAAAGAGGAACACCAGUAAAAAGUUCUGCUAAAAUGCAGCCGAAGCUCCAAAUAUCAAUCUCUUUUCCAUACUCUAAACCUAAUAUUAUUUCUGGAGCUCGAUAAAAUCGAGACUGCAAGUAAGUGUAAACCUUUUCGUUAUAAAAACAACUGCUUCCGAAGUCAAUUAGUUUAAUUCUUGCUUUAAGAGGAUGUGAAAGAAGGAGAUUUUCUGGUUUAAGGUCACAAUGUAUAAUGUUUUGCCCUUGCAAUAGCCUUAAAGCUUGAAGUCCUUGAAGAGCAAAACUCUUAACAACAAUAAGAGGCAGUCCUUUGUAAUUGUUUUCACGGAUAACAUCAAAAAGAUUGCUACCCAAUAAUUCAGUAACAAUACACAAAUGACCCCUAAAAUCAAAAUGAGAUAGGUAUCGAAUAACGUUGUUUUUGUCGGCGGGGUCAGCUUCACAAAGUCGCUUUAAAAUGCCGACUUCUACUAAAGUCUGUCCGUGAAACUUUUGACGAUUUUUAAUAACCUUUAUAGCGACAACUUGACCGCGUUUGUGAUCGAUGCACUUCAGUACUUGACCAAAGCUCCCUUUUCCCACGGUAUCAAUAAUUUCAUAGCGAUAAAGCAAAUGAUCACCUUGAAUAGCUUUGUAAUCUCCAUUAUCAUCAUCAAAUAAAGCUUCAUUGCAUUCGUCGAGAGGGAUUUGUUUGCUCAGCUUUUGACAAUUUUCAGAGCCAGUAAAAUAAAUUUUCUGAAAGUUUUUGAUUUCUAAGUAUUCAAAGGUUGUCAAACUUCGAAUUUUCCGUUCAUCAAGAGUGUCGUAGGAUUUAGCAGUAAUAGCUACACAACUUUCACGAAGCCGUUUAAGAAUAUUGACUUCACGCAAGACUUUUUCGGUGUUCCUAGUACUCAAAUUUUCCAUAACCAAAUCUGCAUCUUUCAAUAACUGAUUGCUAGAAACAGGAGCUGUAUUACCCAUUUCUUUCCUUAAAGCUCUUAGAGAAAUCCCUGAAUUGAAUGUUGAAUUUUGUCUUUCUGCAUGAACUUUUGAACCGGGAGCCCUCGGAAGUCUACGUAACGUAGAAGCGGAUGAAUAACUAGAAAUUGUUGAACCUGGAGGGCGAAAUUUCGAAUUUUUGUUAAACUUCUUACCACUUGGUCUGUUACCAUAAGUGUCCAGAGGAGUUGUAGAACCAGAAAAACCAACAAUUUCUGACAUAGGAGAAUAAGGCCUAUUAUUUAAAGGAAUACUUUUAUAUGGACUAAAGUUGAGAUCUUUUUGAUGAUCAUUGUCUCUUUGGGACGUUAAUUUCGUAGAUUGUGAUGCAUGUCCGUAUGAACUGCUCUGAAUAUUAUUAUUAAAAUUGGAUGGUUUCAUUCGCGAAGCCAUUCUUGCAGUAUCAUCAGCUCUUUUAGAAUUUUUUCCGAGGGUUCUGGGUCCAUUUACUAUAGAAGACCGUGGUGAAGCAAAUUGAGAACAUUCAUGGAAUUUCGAUUGUUGUGGAUAUUCAUAUUUGUUAGUUUCAGAAGAUAAUGUUUUUUUUUUGUUCAUGGGAUAAUUCGUUCCUCCUGGGGUUUCAUCUAGCUGAUUAAUAGUUUCUUCGUAAGCUAAAGUUUUUGUCUUGCUUAAUUUGUUGAGUGGAUGUCGGUUUUCGACUGUAGGGAUGGUUUCAUAUUCUUUGCUGGAAUUGGGAUUAGCAAGCUUUUCUAGUACAAUGCGACGGUUUUGAGAUAUAACUGGGUUGUCUAAUUUUCCACUCUGUAUGUUGUCAUGAAGCGAUGCAUCUUGUAAACCAUCCAAAGUACUCAAAUUUUUAUUCAGAAAGAUUUCUUUUAGAUCUGCAAAAUGAUGCAAUCCUUUUUUCUGUGCCAAGUGUUCAUCUUUAAAGGACUUCUCUUCUAUUCCAACAGCCGAUUUUUCUUCAUUUUGAUCGGGCUUGUUAGGCCUUUUCACACUAUUUAUUAAUUCUGUAAGUAUUUUGCUAUUGUGUGAAUAUUGGCGUUGCGAUAACAGAAAUACGGGCUCUUUAAAAGUAGAAUGAGCUCUUAGAGGACUGCAUGUCUGUUCAGUCAGAUUAUUAGGAGAAAGGAAAUUAGACACUGGGGCUGAGGAACUUUUACUCUCCUGUUUAGGCAGCGUUUCGCUUGUACUUAUUAACCCCACCAUUUAUAAUUGUUGUCGAAGUUGAUUAACGUAAAGAAAGUAGAAAAAUCAAAUAAUUAAAGGCACUAGCUGCUUAAACCAGGGUGGGGAAAAAUGAAAUGUUGUGAAACGAAAAAUAAUUUUAAAAGAAGGAAUUAAACCCGGAUUUGGAGAACAAAUACUUACAAGUAAAUCAACUUGUUAAACGCAGCAUUCGAAGUCCCCUCUUUGAAGCCUCUUCAGUUCAUGAAGAGUUUGCCGCUAAGCACCACAUAAACUCCAAGAAGUUCAGACAAUUAAGAGGCCUGAAAUUCUUAAAAUUAUUUCAAUUUGGAUAGUUUCACACGGGCAGUUGUUGUAUAGGUGGAAGUAACACACUCCUUGAAAAGUUCAAAAUGGGUAACGGUACACUUGGUAUGCUAACUUCCAGAGCGAGUAGAUAC